UUGAACGCUGGCGGCAGGCCUAACACAUGCAAGUCGAGCGGUAGCACAGAGAGCUUGCUCUCGGGUGACGAGCGGCGGACGGGUGAGUAAUGUCUGGGAAACUGCCUGAUGGAGGGGGAUAACUACUGGAAACGGUAGCUAAUACCGCAUAAUGUCGCAAGACCAAAGUGGGGGACCUUCGGGCCUCAUGCCAUCAGAUGUGCCCAGAUGGGAUUAGCUAGUAGGUGGGGUAACGGCUCACCUAGGCGACGAUCCCUAGCUGGUCUGAGAGGAUGACCAGCCACACUGGAACUGAGACACGGUCCAGACUCCUACGGGAGGCAGCAGUGGGGAAUAUUGCACAAUGGGCGCAAGCCUGAUGCAGCCAUGCCGCGUGUGUGAAGAAGGCCUUCGGGUUGUAAAGCACUUUCAGCGGGGAGGAAGGCGGUGAGGUUAAUAACCUCAUCGAUUGACGUUACCCGCAGAAGAAGCACCGGCUAACUCCGUGCCAGCAGCCGCGGUAAUACGGAGGGUGCAAGCGUUAAUCGGAAUUACUGGGCGUAAAGCGCGCGCAGGCGGUCUGUCAAGUCGGAUGUGAAAUCCCCGGGCUCAACCUGGGAACUGCAUUCGAAACUGGCAGGCUAGAGUCUUGUAGAGGGGGGUAGAAUUCCAGGUGUAGCGGUGAAAUGCGUAGAGAUCUGGAGGAAUACCGGUGGCGAAGGCGGCCCCCUGGACAAAGACUGACGCUCAGGUGCGAAAGCGUGGGGAGCAAACAGGAUUAGAUACCCUGGUAGUCCACGCCGUAAACGAUGUCGAUUUGGAGGUUGUGCCCUUGAGGCGUGGCUUCCGGAGCUAACGCGUUAAAUCGACCGCCUGGGGAGUACGGCCGCAAGGUUAAAACUCAAAUGAAUUGACGGGGGCCCGCACAAGCGGUGGAGCAUGUGGUUUAAUUCGAUGCAACGCGAAGAACCUUACCUGGUCUUGACAUCCACAGAACUUUCCAGAGAUGGAUUGGUGCCUUCGGGAACUGUGAGACAGGUGCUGCAUGGCUGUCGUCAGCUCGUGUUGUGAAAUGUUGGGUUAAGUCCCGCAACGAGCGCAACCCUUAUCCUUUGUUGCCAGCGGUUAGGCCGGGAACUCAAAGGAGACUGCCAGUGAUAAACUGGAGGAAGGUGGGGAUGACGUCAAGUCAUCAUGGCCCUUACGACCAGGGCUACACACGUGCUACAAUGGCAUAUACAAAGAGAAGCGACCUCGCGAGAGCAAGCGGACCUCAUAAAGUAUGUCGUAGUCCGGAUUGGAGUCUGCAACUCGACUCCAUGAAGUCGGAAUCGCUAGUAAUCGUAGAUCAGAAUGCUACGGUGAAUACGUUCCCGGGCCUUGUACACACCGCCCGUCACACCAUGGGAGUGGGUUGCAAAAGAAGUAGGUAGCUUAACCUUCGGGAGGGCGCUUACCACUUUGUGAUUCAUGACUGGGGUG
rnacentral:rRNA from 1 species